rnacentral:tRNA from 1 species
GGCCCGUUAGUCAAGCGGCUAAGACGUCGCCCUCUCACGGCGAAGGCAUGGGUUCGAUUCCCGUACGGGUCACCA